AGAGAAAACGAGCUACAGAAUAAAUUGAUAGAUUGGACAUGUGAAGCUGGGGAGAAAACAACACUUCCACCAGUCCCGCCCAAUGUUCAAUGCGAGAAAAAAAAGGCUGACAUAAUAUUUGCCAUUGACCAAUCAUCAAGCAUCGGUGACGACAAACAAUUUAGAAUUGAACUUGAUUUCGUCAACAGUCUAAUCAAAGAACUGGACGUUGCUUCUGAUCAAACUAGAAUUGGCGCUGUCGUGUUUAGCACCAACUCAGAGCGCCGCCUGGAGCUCCGAGAUGGCAUCAAUCGCGAGACUGUUAUUGAUACAAUUCAAAAGUUUGAAUAUGGCACUGGCGAUACCUAUAUUGGUAAAGCUUUUGCAGACAUGAGGGAGGGCUUUCUUCCAGCUAAAGGCGGUCGGCCAGGUUUAGUCCCCCAAAUUGCUGUAUUAAUAACAGAUGGAGAGGCGACCGAUCAAAAUACUAAAGCAAAACCUGAGGCCGACAAAUUGAGAAAUAGCGGUGUCGAAAUAUUUGCAAUUGGGGUGAAAGGAGCCAAUCGCAAACAAUUGGAGAGGUACGCUAGUAGACCAAGUAAUGUCUUCUUUGUGGAUGAUCUGAAUGCUCUAAACACCAUCUCUGGCGCUGUGCUCACGGAACUCUGCGAAUGAUCGUCAAACAAAGGUUACCAAUUUGGUGAUAUACCCGGUAGACCCUGACCUGUAUUUUUGGAAAAAUGAUAAUAAAGCAUUUUAAUU
rnacentral:misc_RNA from 1 species